rnacentral:rRNA from 1 species
AGCGGCGGACGGGUGAGUAACGCGUGGGUAACCUGCCUCAUACAGGGGGAUAACAGUUGGAAACGGCUGCUAAUACCGCAUAAGCGCACAGUACCGCAUGGUACCGUGUGAAAAACUCCGGUGGUAUGAGAUGGACCCGCGUCUGAUUAGCUAGUUGGUGGGGUAACGGCCUACCAAGGCGACGAUCAGUAGCCGACCUGAGAGGGUGACCGGCCACAUUGGGACUGAGGCACGGCCCAA